GGGUGUAGAGAGGGGAAAACCGGGUGAGAAGAGAGAGAAUCGGGAGGGAGAGAAAAAAAGAAAAGAAGAAGAAACGGGUUGGGCUCGGCCCAGCCGACCCAACACUCCUUUUAACCCAAAAUUCCAAAAUUCAACACCCCGAAAUAAUAUCCCAAUAAAAAUUACCUUUUACUAGCUAAAAUUUACUAUUUUUACCGUCGUCGUAUUUCCUUAAUACGAAUAAUCCUCCGUACAUAAUCGUCCCCGAAACCCCUCUAGGGACCAAUUAAACUAUUUACUCAUUGAUCGAGACGGUAAAAUUCUUAUUAUAAUCACGCUAGUAAAUAAGGUAAAAAUAUAAGGGUCGGGAUGUGACAGUGAAUGCAUACAAAAAGGUAUAGAAAAUCAAUAUGAGGACAAGAACGUCAUCCUCAUGAUCGCGAAUUUCAAAGAUUCGGAUCCUGCUCUAGCUACCCAUGACUUUGACGUCAUCGACUAGACAUUGAUUUUCGUUCCAAGCUAUAUGUACAAUGGCGUUGUAUCGACGUCCUUCGUCUAUUUGAGACCUCGAUGUACUCACAUUAGCAAUAAUUAAUACCUUGAGAAUUUUUUCGAAGUUAUGAAACUAUUCUCCUCUUAUGGUUCGUAUUGAUUUACAAAAAAAAUGUACAUUCUUACAUCGUCCUUAGAAACAUGGCAUAUUGUGCCGAUUUUGGUCCCUUCCUUUGAAGGUGACUCAUGGCACCGCAUCCUCAAUGAGAAUCGCCCACGUGUUUCCGGUUAAGUUAAGUCUUCUACCCUAUAGCGGAUUUUCCAUCAUCAAUUGUUCAACUAGGCUCAUCCAAGCUCAGUGUAAUGUCUUAGAAUUGUCCGAAAUUAAAGAGAUAGUGGUUUCAAGUGUGCCUCGCACUACCGACCCUCCACGGACAUGCCUGGUCAUACUGACUUGGAGUUACCGAAAGCUUUUGAUUUUGGAUCCCCCUACACUAUUAAACCAAUUUCCAUCUUACAAAAGACGUUGAAGACUUAUCAAACCCGAAAAUUAUCAUCAUGAUCGAUCCUCUAGGUCCUCUGAGUUAGUUUAUUGUUCAUGUCAGGGAGCUUUUGCUAACUAGUCAU
rnacentral:lncRNA from 1 species